UACAAAGAUCUGGGCGAGAGGUGAAAUAUCAAGAUUUAGAGAGAAGACGUCGCUGGAACUGGCAGCAGAGGCGAGAAACCCACAUAGAUCACAUGAACAAGUAUGGAGGAGGACCAAAUUGACAUGACUGAGAAGAUACUAAACCUCACCCUGGAGAUCAUCUACCUGCUGACCGGAGAGAGAUUUCCUCUUGUGAAGUCAGG